GAAUGUAGACAGUAGGCCUCAGAUCGGCAUGCAUUUUAAUUCAGAGAGCGAGGCUUAUGAAUUCUAUAACAGUUAUGGAGGAAGAUUGGGUUUUAGUGUCAGGAAAGAAUUUGAAAAUAAGAGUAAAAAAGACAAGACUACGAUAACUUUAAGGAGAUUCG